rnacentral:rRNA from 1 species
GCUUGUCUCAAAGAUUAAGCCAUGCAUGUCUAAGUAUAAGCAAUUAUACCGCGAAACUGCGAAUGGCUCAUUAUAUAAGUUAUCGUUUAUUUGAUAAUACUUUACUACUUGGAUAACCGUGGUAAUUCUAGAGCUAAUACAUGCUAAAAAUCCCGACUUCGGAAGGGUUGUAUUUAUUAGAUUAAAAACCAAUGCCCCUCGGGGCUCUCUGGUGAAUCAUGAUAACUAGUCGAAUCGACAGGCCUUGUGCCGGCGAUGGCUCAUUCAAAUUUCUUCCCUAUCAACUUUCGAUGUUUGGGUAUUGUCCAAACAUGGUGGCAACGGGUAACGGAGGGUUAGGGCUCGACCCCGGAGAAGGAGCCUGAGAAACGGCUACUACAUCCAAGGAAGGCAGCAGGCGCGCAAAUUACCCAAUCCCGACACGGGGAGGUAGUGACAAUAAAUACUGAUACAGGGCUCUUUUGGGUCUUGUAAUCGGAAUGAGUACAAUUUAAAUCCCUUAACGAGGAACAAUUGGAGG